UACGAAGGGGGCUAGCGUUGCUCGGAAUCACUGGGCGUAAAGCGCACGUAGGCGGAUCUUUAAGUCAGGGGUGAAAUCCCGGAGCUCAACUCCGGAACUGCCUUUGAUACUGGAGAUCUUGAGUCCGGGAGAGGUGAGUGGAACUGCGAGUGUAGAGGUGAAAUUCGUAGAUAUUCGCAAGAACACCAGUGGCGAAGGCGGCUCACUGGUCCGGUACUGACGCUGAGGUGCGAAAGCGUGGGGAGCAAACAGG
rnacentral:rRNA from 1 species